CCUACGGGUGGCAGCAGUGAGGAAUAUUGGUCAAUGGGCGAGAGCCUGAACCAGCCAAGUAGCGUGAAGGAUGAAUUCCUUACGUGUUGUAAACUUCUUUUAUAAGGGAAUAGAGUGAGGCACGUGUGACUUUUUGUAUGUACUUUAUGAAUAAGGAUCGGCUAACUCCGUGCCAGCAGCCGCGGUAAUAAGGAGGCGCAGAGCGUUAUCCGGAUUUAUUGGGUGUAAAGGGAGCGUAGAUGGGUUGUUAAGUCAGUUGUGAAAGUGUGCGGCUCAACCGCAAAAUUGCAAUUGAUACUGGCAGUCUUGAGUACAGUUGAGGUAGGCGGAAUUCGUGGUGUAGCGGUGAAAUGCUUAGAUAUCACGAAGAACUCCGAUUGCGAAGGCAGCUUACUAAACUGCCACUGACAUUGAUGCUCGAAAGUGUGGGUAUCAAACAGGAUUAGAUACCCUUGUAGUC
rnacentral:rRNA from 1 species